ACGAACGCUGGCGGCGUGCUUAACCCAUGCAAGUCGAACGGAAAGGCCCUGCUUUUGUGGGGUGCUCGAGUGGCGAACGGGUGAGUAACACGUGAGUAACCUGCCCUUGACUUUGGGAUAACUUCAUGAAACUGGGGCUAAUACCGGAUAGGAGCUCCUGCUGCAUGGUGGGGGUUGGAAAGUUUCGGCGGUUGGGGAUGGACUCGCGGCUUAUCAGCUUGUUGGUGGGGUAGUGGCUUACCAAGGCUUUGACGGGUAGCCGGCCUGAGAGGGUGACCGGCCAAAUUGGAACUGAGAUACGGCCCAGACGCCUACGGGAGGCAGCAGUGGGGAAUAUUGCACAAUGGGCGGAAGCCUGAUGAAGCAACGCCGCGUUCGGGAUGAAGGCCUUCGGGUUGUAAACCGCUUUCGGCUGUGACGAAGCGUGAGUGACGGUAAUGGGUAAAGAAGCACCGGCUAACUACGUG
rnacentral:rRNA from 1 species